CGGAGCGUGGCGCAGCCAGGUAGCGCGUCUGACUGGGGGUCAGAAGGUCGUGGGUUCGAAUCCCGCCGCUCCGACCA
rnacentral:tRNA from 1 species